AACGAACGCUGGCGGCAGGCCUAACACAUGCAAGUCGAGCGCCCAGCAAUGGGAGCGGCAGACGGGUGAGUAACGCGUGGGAACCUUCCCAAUGGUACGGAAUAGCUCAGGGAAACUUGAGGUAAUACCGCAUAAGCCCGAGAGGGGAAAGAUUUAUCGCCAUUGGAUGGGCCCGCGUAGGAUUAGCUAGUUGGUGAGGUAAUGGCUCACCAAGGCGACGAUCCUUAGCUGGUUUGAGAGAAUGACCAGCCACACUGGGACUGAGACACGGCCCAGACUCCUAUGGGAGGCAGCAGUGGGGAAUCUUGGACAAUGGGCGCAAGCCUGAUCCAGCCAUGCCGCGUGAGUGACGAAGGUCUUCGGAUUGUAAAGCUCUUUUGCCAGGGACGAUAAUGACGGUACCUGGAGAAUAAGCCCCGGCUAACUUCGUGCCAGCAGCCGCGGUAAU
rnacentral:rRNA from 1 species